rnacentral:rRNA from 1 species
CCCCAGUAACGGCGAAUGAAGCGGCAACAGCUCAAAUUUGAAAUCUGGCUCCUAGAGCCCGAGUUGUAAUUUGUAGAGGAUGCUUUUGAUGCGGUGCCUUCCGAGUUCCCUGGAACGGGACGCCAUAGAGGGUGAGAGCCCCGUCUGGUCGGAUGCCAAAUCUCUGUAAAGCUCCUUCGACGAGUCGAGUAGUUUGGGAAUGCUGCUCAAAAUGGGAGGUAUAUGUCUUCUAAAGCUAAAUAUUGGCCAGAGACCGAUAGCGCACAAGUAGAGUGAUCGAAAGAUGAAAAGCACUUUGAAAAGAGGGUUAAAUAGUACGUGAAAUUGUUGAAAGGGAAGCGCCUAUGACCAGACUUGGGCCCGGUGAAUCAUCCAGCGUUCUCGCUGGUGCACUUUGCCGGGCACAGGCCAGCAUCAGUUUGUCUUGGGGGAAAAAGGUUUCGGGAACGUGGCUCCCUCGGGAGUGUUAUAGCCCGUUGCAUAAUACCCUGAGACGGACUGAGGUUCGCGCAUCUGCAAGGAUGCUGGCGUAAUGGUCAUCAGCGACCCGUCUUGAAACACGGACCAAGGAGUCGUCUUCGUAUGCGAGUGUUCGGGUGUAAAACCCCUACGCGUAAUGAAAGUGAACGCAGGUGAGAGCUUCGGCGCAUCAUCGACCGAUCCUGAUGUUCUCGGAUGGAUUUGAGUAAGAGCAUACGGGGCCGGACCCGAAAGAAGGUGAACUAUUCCUGUAUAGGGUGAAGCCAGAGGAAACUCUGGUGGAGGCUCGCAGCGGUUCUGACGUGCGAAUCGAUCGUCAAAUAUGGGAAUGGGGGCGAAAGACUAAUCGA